rnacentral:rRNA from 1 species
GAUGAACGCUGGCGGCGUGCCUAAUACAUGCAAGUCGAACGAACAGGUCAGGCUCUUGCGCCUCUCACGUUAGCGGCGGACGGGUGAGUAACACGUGGAUAACCUACCUAUAAGACUGGUAUAACUUCGGGAAACGGGCUCUAAUACCGGAUAAGAUAUUGAACCACAUGGGUCAAUAGUAAAAUACGGCUGUGCUGGCACUAAUAGCUGCAUCUGCGCCGCAUUAGAUAGUUGGUAAGGUAACAGCUUACCAAGGCAACGAGGCGUUGCCGAACUGAGUGGGUGGUAGGCCACACGGGAACUGGGACACGGUCCAGGCGCCUACGGGAGGCAGCAGUAGGGAAUCGUAGGCAGUGGGCGAGAGCAUGACACAGCAGGGCCGAGUGAGAGAUGACGGUGUUCGGUGCGUAAAGACGUGCUAUUGGGGAAAAACAACUGUGUAAGUAAAUAUGCACGUAUUGACGGUAACGAAUCAGAAAGCACCGGCUAACUACGUG